AGGAAUGGAUUGCAGUCCACCUUUUACAGCUGAAUGAAAAGAGAGGGGGUAGAAGAAGAAAGGUGAUUUAAAUUUCAUCUCUUCCCAGCAGCGGUGAGUAAGUGAUUGCUGAUUGGCACAGAGCACGGUCCCCUGUAUAUCGGGUCAGGUAAACUACAGCAGAGCGGACGUCUGUGGACAUGCAGAUUCCAGACACCUACGAUGCGCUGGGACAACAGAAACUACUUUUCUGACAUGGCCGAAGUGUGAAGACAGAAUGACAGGAUGGGGCUCAGUCUCUCUUGUCUGAAAGGACUGCAGAUUGGUAACCGCAGUGAAGAGACCCCCAGCAAAUUAUCCAAUAGUGGCCGGAGUGUCCCCGACAUAAUCGUCACACCCCCCACCCCGACUGGCACGAUGAAAUCUAGAACUGCGCUCCAACAGAGUCGGACGGGAUCUCCUGAAAACAACUGCUGCUGAUGCUGCUGGCCUGGAUCAUCUGCGUAUGACUGAAUUGUCGGCUCUAAGAUGGACAAACUGCAAAUGAAAACACUAAGAUUUUUUUUUUUUGUAUAGAUCUUUCUCCACACUAAAAUAGAAAAUAAAUAGUAGAUUAUGUACAUAUCAAA